CCUACGGGUGGCAGCAGUGGGGAAUAUUGGGCAAUGGGCGCAAGCCUGACCCAGCAACGCCGCGUGAGGGAAGAAGGCUCUCGGGUUGUAAACUUCUUUUCUCAGGGACGAAGAAAGUGACGGUACCGGAGGAAUAAGCCACGGCUAACUACGUGCAAGCAGCCGCGGUAAUACGUAGGUGGCAAGCGUUAUUCGGAUUUAUGGGGUGUAAAGGGCGUGUAGGCGGGAGCGCAAGUCAGCUGUGAAAACUCAGGGCUCAACCCUGAGCCUGCAUAUGAUACUGUGUUUCUUGAGUGAUGGAGAGGCAAUCGGAAUUCCUGGUGUAGCGGUGAAAUGCGUAGAUAUACGGAGGAACACCAGUGGCGAAGGCGGAUUGCUGGACAGUAACUGACGCUGAGGCGCGAAGGCGUGGGGAGCGAACAGGAUUAGAUACCCUAGUAGUC
rnacentral:rRNA from 1 species